GGACAGGAUGGGACUUGUAGGCGUAGGCCCUAGUGAUUGCUGCAGCGUGGGCUGGCCUUCCUCGCCCUCACCCGGUACUGCCCCUUCGCUCUAAAUCUGCGCAUUCCCAGAGUACCUGAUUGUAAGAAUCGUCUCCUAGGCUGAUUGAAUGCAUAGAUUAACAGAUCCAAAAAUGGAGGCACAGAGUUUGUUACCAUGAUCACCUAGCUAAAGGUGGAAGAGGAGGGGUUGAAGUCAGGUCUCCUGAAUCCAAAUCUUGGCGAUGUUUAAGCUAAGGUGUACUACAUUUUGCGAGCUAGCUGACAUCAAAGCACAGAAUCUGAAUCAAAGAAAUUUGGAAGAAGAGAACUUUUUCAUCUAAGUGGCUGCCGGCACCCCCACCCCAGCUGAAGCGCUCCCUUGUUCUUGUCUGCUCUGCCCCAGAUUCAUGGGCCGCGCUCGGGAUCGUUGGCAGUUUCCUCUGUACUGUCCUGACAACGUCCGGCCAUGAAACUGAAAAGCUAGUCACCGAAUCUCGCUCCCACCGGCUUUGUCCUUGCCAGGGAUUCAACAGAGAAAUGUGGAAGAGGGAGCCUCCCCGCGCCUGCAGCAGGCUGAAAUGCUACCAGAAUGACAAUGGGCUGGGGUGUGGGAGGAGGGGAGCGUGUGCAGCGUGCCAGGAAUGAAUGAAUGAAUGAGAGGGAGUGAGAGAGAGAACGAGAGAGAGCAAACUUUGGGCUUCAAAUUAAAAAAUUCUAGGGUCUCAA